rnacentral:tRNA from 13 species
GCGGGCGUGGCGAAAUUGGUUAGACGCAACGGACUUAAAAUCCGUCGGGCUUUGCCCAUGCCGGUUCAAGUCCGGCCGCCCGCA